rnacentral:ncRNA from 2 species
UACGAAGGGGGCUAGCGUUGCUCGGAAUUACUGGGCGUAAAGGGUGCGUAGGCGGGUCUUUAAGUCAGGGGUGAAAUCCUGGAGCUCAACUCCAGAACUGCCUUUGAUACUGAGGAUCUUGAGUUCGGGAGAGGUGAGUGGAACUGCGAGUGUAGAGGUGAAAUUCGUAGAUAUUCGCAAGAACACCAGUGGCGAAGGCGGCUCACUGGCCCGAUACUGACGCUGAGGCACGAAAGCGUGGGGAGCAAACAGG